UUAAGCGACUAAGCGUACACGGUGGAUGCCCUGGCAGUCAGAGGCGAUGAAGGACGUGCUAAUCUGCGAAAAGCGUCGGUAAGGUGAUAUGAACCGUUACAGCCGGCGAUGUCCGAAUGGGGAAACCCAGUGCAAUUCGUUGCACUAUCGUUAACUGAAUACAUAGGUUAACGAGGCGAACCGGGGGAACUGAAACAUCUAAGUACCCCGAGGAAAAGAAAUCAACCGAGAUUCCCCCAGUAGCGGCGAGCGAACGGGGAGCAGCCCAGAGUCUGAAUCAGCUUGUGUGUUAGUGGAACGGUCUGGAAAGUCCGACGGUACAGGGUGAUAGUCCCGUACACCAAAAUGCACAGGUUGUGAACUCGAAGAGUAGGGCGGGACACGUGGUAUCCUGUCUGAAUAUGGGGGGACCAUCCUCCAAGGCUAAAUACUCCUGACUGACCGAUAGUGAACCAGUACCGUGAGGGAAAGGCGAAAAGAACCCCGGCGAGGGGAGUGAAAAAGAACCUGAAACCGUGUACGUACAAGCAGUGGGAGCACCUUCGGGUGUGACUGCGUACCUUUUGUAUAAUGGGUCAGCGACUUAUAUUCUGUAGCAAGGUUAACCGUAUAGGGGAGCCGCAGGGAAACCGAGUCUUAACUGGGCGUUAAGUUGCAGGGUAUAGACCCGAAACCCGGUGAUCUAGCCAUGGGCAGGUUGAAGGUUGGGUAACACUAACUGGAGGACCGAACCGACUAAUGUUGAAAAAUUAGCGGAUGACUUGUGGCUGGGGGUGAAAGGCCAAUCAAACCGGGAGAUAGCUGGUUCUCCCCGAAAGCUAUUUAGGUAGCGCCUCGUGAACUCAUCUUCGGGGGUAGAGCACUGUUUCGGCUAGGGGGUCAUCCCGACUUACCAACCCGAUGCAAACUACGAAUACCGAAGAAUGUUAUCACGGGAGACACACGGCGGGUGCUAACGUCCGUCGUGAAGAGGGAAACAACCCAGACCGCCAGCUAAGGUCCCAAAGUCACAGUUAAGUGGGAAACGAUGUGGGAAGGCACAGACAGCCAGGAUGUUGGCUUAGAAGCAGCCAUCAUUUAAAGAAAGCGUAAUAGCUCACUGGUCGAGUCGGCCUGCGCGGAAGAUGUAACGGGGCUAAACUGUGCACCGAAGCUGCGGCAGCGACACUAUGUGUUGUUGGGUAGGGGAGCGUUCUGUAAGCCUGCGAAGGUGGCCUGUGAGGGUUGCUGGAGGUAUCAGAAGUGCGAAUGCUGACAUAAGUAACGAUAAUGCGGGUGAAAAGCCCGCACGCCGGAAGACCAAGGGUUCCUGUCCAACGUUAAUCGGGGCAGGGUGAGUCGACCCCUAAGGCGAGGCCGAAAGGCGUAGUCGAUGGGAAACAGGUUAAUAUUCCUGUACUUGGUGUUACUGCGAAGGGGGGACGGAGAAGGCUAUGUUAGCCGGGCGACGGUUGUCCCGGUUUAAGCAUGUAGGCGGAGGUUCCAGGUAAAUCCGGUACCUUUUUAACGCUGAGGUGUGAUGACGAGGCACUACGGUGCUGAAGUAACAAAUGCCCUGCUUCCAGGAAAAGCCUCUAAGCAUCAGGUAACAUUAAAUCGUACCCCAAACCGACACAGGUGGUCAGGUAGAGAAUACCAAGGCGCUUGAGAGAACUCGGGUGAAGGAACUAGGCAAAAUGGUGCCGUAACUUCGGGAGAAGGCACGCUGAUAUGUAGGUGAAGCCCCUGCGGGUGGAGCUGAAAUCAGUCGAAGAUACCAGCUGGCUGCAACUGUUUAUUAAAAACACAGCACUGUGCAAACACGAAAGUGGACGUAUACGGUGUGACGCCUGCCCGGUGCCGGAAGGUUAAUUGAUGGGGUUAUCCGUAAGGAGAAGCUCUUGAUCGAAGCCCCGGUAAACGGCGGCCGUAACUAUAACGGUCCUAAGGUAGCGAAAUUCCUUGUCGGGUAAGUUCCGACCUGCACGAAUGGCGUAAUGAUGGCCAGGCUGUCUCCACCCGAGACUCAGUGAAAUUGAACUCGCUGUGAAGAUGCAGUGUACCCGCGGCAAGACGGAAAGACCCCGUGAACCUUUACUAUAGCUUGACACUGAACAUUGAGCCUUGAUGUGUAGGAUAGGUGGGAGGCUUUGAAGCGUGGACGCCAGUCUGCGUGGAGCCAACCUUGAAAUACCACCCUUUAAUGUUUGAUGUUCUAACGUUGGCCCCUUAUCGGGGUUGCGGACAGUGUCUGGUGGGUAGUUUGACUGGGGCGGUCUCCUCCCAAAGAGUAACGGAGGAGCACGAAGGUUAGCUAAUCCUGGUCGGACAUCAGGAGGUUAGUGCAAUGGCAUAAGCUAGCUUGACUGCGAGCGUGACGGCGCGAGCAGGUGCGAAAGCAGGUCAUAGUGAUCCGGUGGUUCUGAAUGGAAGGGCCAUCGCUCAACGGAUAAAAGGUACUCCGGGGAUAACAGGCUGAUACCGCCCAAGAGUUCAUAUCGACGGCGGUGUUUGGCACCUCGAUGUCGGCUCAUCACAUCCUGGGGCUGAAGUAGGUCCCAAGGGUAUGGCUGUUCGCCAUUUAAAGUGGUACGCGAGCUGGGUUUAGAACGUCGUGAGACAGUUCGGUCCCUAUCUGCCGUGGGCGCUGGAGAAUUGAGGGGGGCUGCUCCUAGUACGAGAGGACCGGAGUGGACGCAUCACUGGUGUUCGGGUUGUCAUGCCAAUGGCAUUGCCCGGUAGCUAAAUGCGGAAGAGAUAAGUGCUGAAAGCAUCUAAGCACGAAACUUGCCCCGAGAUGAGUUCUCCCUGAGACUUUAAGUCUCCUGAAGGAACGUUAAAGACGAUGACGUUGAUAGGUCGGGUGUGUAAGCGUAGCGAUACGUUGAGCUAACCGAUACUAAUGAACCGUGAGGCUUAACCUU
rnacentral:rRNA from 1 species